GCCUUUUAUUGCUACAUAUUUAAUAAGUGAGGCAAGCCUCAUGAAGUCUUCAAGAUGGAGCAACUACAUAUCUGCCUUGCCUAGGCAGCCUUACUCUCUCUUAUACUGGACUCAAUCGGAGUUAGAUAGGUACUUGGAAGCAUCACAAAUAAGACAGCGGGCGGUUGAAAGGAUAAAUAACGUCAUUGGAACGUACAAUGACUUAAGGCUCAGAAUAUUUUCCAAGCAUCCUGAUUUAUUUCCUGAAGAGAUAUUCAACAUAGAGACUUUCAACUGGUCAUUUGGAAUUCUCUUCUCACGUUUGGUCAGGUUACCCUCUAUGGAUGGAAGAGUUGCGUUGGUUCCUUGGGCAGAUAUGUUGAAUCAUAAUUGUGAGGUGGAAACAUU
rnacentral:misc_RNA from 1 species